rnacentral:rRNA from 1 species
GAUGAACGCUGGCGGCGUGCUUAACACAUGCAAGUCGAACGGUGAAGGCGGAGCUUGCUCUGCUGGAUCAGUGGCGAACGGGUGAGUAACACGUGAGCAAUCUGCCCCUGACUCUGGGAUAAGCGCUGGAAACGGCGUCUAAUACUGGAUACGAGCUGCGAAGGCAUCUUCAGCAGCUGGAAAGACUUCCGGUCAGGGAUGAGCUCGCGGCCUAUCAGCUUGUUGGUGAGGUAAUGGCUCACCAAGGCGUCGCCGGGUAGCCGGCCUGAGAGGGUGACCGUCCACACUGGGACUGAGACACGGCCCAGACUCCUACGUGAGGCAGCAGUGGGGAAUAUUGCACAAUGGGCGAAAGCCUGAUGCAGCAACGCCGCGUGAGGGACGACGGCCUUCGGGUUGUAAACCUCUUUUAGCAGGGAAGAAGCGAAAGUGACGGUACCUGCAGAAAAAGCGCCGGCUAACUACGUG